ensembl:snRNA U6 U6 spliceosomal RNA
GUGCUCCCUUUGGCAGCACAGACAGUGCAAUUGGAAAGAUACAGAGAUCAGCAUGUGCCCUGCACCAGGGUACCAUGCAGAAUCGAGAAGACGGACCUCCUCUC